UUUUAUGAUGAUCUUUUUUUUUAAAUUUAUUAACUUUCGUUCUACCGAAUUUUACAUCAAACGAUGUUGGGGAAAACUUUUUAUUCUGAUA
rnacentral:snoRNA from 1 species